rnacentral:rRNA from 1 species
GACGAACGCUGGCGGCGUGCUUAACACAUGCAAGUCGAGCGGUAAGGCCCUUUUGGGGGUACACGAGCGGCGAACGGGUGAGUAACACGUGGGUGACCUGCCCUCAGCUCUGGGGAUAAGCCUGGGAAACUGGGUCUAAUACUGGAUAUGACCUUUCCUCGCAUGGGGUUGGGUGGAAAGUUUUUCGGCGUGGGGGAUGGGCCCGCGGCCUAUCAGCUUGGUUGGUGGGGUGAUGGCCUACCAAGGCGACGACGGGUAGCCGGCCUGAGAGGGCGACCGG